rnacentral:rRNA from 1 species
CGCGUGCACUGGUCCGGCCGGGCCUUUCCUUCUGGGGAUCCGCAUGCCCUUCACUGGGUGUGUCGGGGAACCAGGACUUUUACUUUGAAAAAAUUAGAGUGUUCAAAGCAGGCCUUUGCUCGAAUACAUUAGCAUGGAAUAAUAGAAUAGGACGGCUUUCCUAUUUUGUUGGUUUCUAGGGGAGCCGUAAUGAUUAAUAGGGAUAGUCGGGGGCAUCAGUAUUCAAUUGUCAGAGGUGAAAUUCUUGGAUUUAUUGAAGACUAACUACUGCGAAAGCAUUUGCCAAGGAUGUUUUCAUUAAUCAGUGAACGAAAGUUAGGGGAUCGAAGACGAUCAGAUACCGUCGUAGUCUUAACCAUAAACUAUGCCGACUAGGGAUCGGGCGAUGUUACUAUCUUGACUCGCUCGGCACCUUACGAGAAAUCAAAGUUUUUGGGUUCUGGGGGGAGUAUGGUCGCAAGGCUGAAACUUAAAGAAAUUGACGGAAGGGCACCACCAGGAGUGAACAUGCGCUGGCCGCAGCGACUCUGCUCCGAAAAGCAGCCCGAAAGGGUGAGGUGGCUCAGCCUGCGGGCCCUCCGGGGCCCCGAAUCUAAAUGCUAGUUCGCCUGCGGGCGGGCGACACGCUCAAACUGCGGGGAACCCCUAAAGCUUCAAGCACCAAGCCGGCGCCGAAAGGCGGCCGGUGGCCGGGCCAACAGCCCCGGGUACGGUAACAGCCUUGAAGAUGCGA